rnacentral:snRNA from 1 species
AGAUGUGAGGGCGACUUGGCUGUGAUAUGUUACCCUACAGAUCGCCAGGGUUGAUUUGCUGAUCUGGCUGUCUAGGCAGGCGUCCCUGUCCUCAUCACCCCAUGUGCAUCCCUCCCAAAGCUGCAUACUUGGUCAAAGAGGACAUCCACUCUGAUAGAGGCAGACCGUUCCUAGGUCAAGGUUAUCUAGGUCAAGGCUCUUAUCAUAAGUAGCUGUGCUCCCCCCUAGGACAUCCAAACAAGCUCUCAAGGGAGGAGGAAAAAUAUCAGGAACCCAAAUGACAACAGACUUUUCCACAGCCAAAAAUAU